CCAAUAGCGUAUAUUAAAGUUGUUGCAGUUAAAAAGCUCGUAGUUGAAUUUCGGGAUUGACACAUCGGUCGUGCCUUAAGGGGUAUGAACUGGUGUAGUCAAUUUCUCACCUUCUGGAGAACCGCGAUGCCCUUAAUUGGGUGUCGCGGGGAACCAGGACCUUUACUUUGAAAAAAUUAGAGUGUUUAAAGCAGGCAUUUUGCUUGAAUACAUUAGCAUGGAAUAAUAAAAUAGGACGGCAUGAUUCUAUUUUGUUGGUUUCUAGGAUCGCCGUAAUGAUUAAUAGGGAUAGUUGGGGGCAUUAGUAUUCAAUUGUCAGAGGUGAAAUUCUUGGAUUUAUUGAAGACUAACUACUGCGAAAGCAUUUGCCAAGGAUGUUUUCAUUAAUCAAGAACGAAAGUUAGGGGAUCGAAGACGAUCAGAUACCGUCGUAGUCUUAACCAUAAACUAUGCCGACUAGGAAUCAGACGAUGUUAAUUUUUUAAUGACUCGUUUGGCACCUUACG
rnacentral:rRNA from 1 species